GAUGAACGCUGGCGGCGUGCCUAAUACAUGCAAGUCGAGCGAACGGACGAGAAGCUUGCUUCUCUGAUGUUAGCGGCGGACGGGUGAGUAACACGUGGAUAACCUACCUAUAAGACUGGGAUAACUUCGGGAAACCGGAGCUAAUACCGGAUAAUAUUUUGAACCGCAUGGUUCAAAAGUGAAAGACGGUCUUGCUGUCACUUAUAGAUGGAUCCGCGCUGCAUUAGCUAGUUGGUAAGGUAACGGCUUACCAAGGCAACGAUGAAUAGCCGACCUGAGAGGGUGAUCGGCCACAAUGGAACUGAGACACGGUCCAGACUCCUACGGGAGACAGCAGUAGGGAAGCUUCCGCAAUGGGCGAAAGCCUGACGGAGCAACGCCGCGUGAGUGAUGAAGGUCUUCGGAUCGUAAAACUCUGUUAUUAGGGAAGAACAUAUGUGGAAGUAACUGUGCACAGCUUGACGGUACCUAAUCAGAAAGCCACGGCUAAAUACGUG
rnacentral:rRNA from 1 species